AUUGAACGCUGGCGGCAUGCCUUACACAUGCAAGUCGAACGGUAACAGGUUAAGCUGACGAGUGGCGAACGGGUGAGUAAUAUAUCGGAACGUGCCCAGUCGUGGGGGAUAACGUAGAGAAAGCUACGCUAAUACCGCAUACGAUCUACGGAUGAAAGCGGGGGAUCGCAAGACCUCGCGCGAUUGGAGCGGCCGAUAUCAGAUUAGGUUGUUGGUGAGGUAAAAGCUCACCAGGCCUGCGAUCUGUAGCUGGUCUGAGAGGACGACCAGCCACACUGGAACUGAGACACGGUCCAGACUCCUACGGGAGGCAGCAGUGGGGAAUUUUGGACAAUGGACGCAAGUCUGAUCCAGCAAUGCCGCGUGCAGGACGAAGGCCUUCGGGUUGUAAACUGCUUUUGUACGGAACGAAACGGUGAGCUCUAAUACGGUUUGCUAAUGACGGUACCGUAAGAAUAAGCACCGGCUAACUACGUGCCAGCCGCCGCCGUAA
rnacentral:rRNA from 1 species